rnacentral:misc_RNA from 1 species
GUCGCUGUGUGCGGGCGAUGAGACGUGCUGGGCUUGUCUAAUGGAUGACCGACCCUCUGCCACGGUUAGUGCCGUCACACCUGCUUGAUGUGCUUGAAAGGGUUGCGCCUCCUUGUCGGAACUCACAGGUGUGCUUUGCGUCGUGUUUGUGCGUACGCGCGUGAGUGCUUGUCCGCGUACGCGUGUUGAUUUGGUGGGUGGGGUGGCUGUCGGGUAAACGGACAUUUUUCCCCGCUGGAGGGUGCUGACCAGAAAAUCAAGAAGGGAAAAAGAACUGGAACAGGCAAGGACAGCCAGAUUCAUGCAACACUGCAUUUCUUUAAAAAACUUGCACCAGUAACCUCAACUCAACCAUGCGUCUAGAGAAAAGAGUGAGACCCCUUUUCACUCAACGACAGACCCAGAGAGAUGAGCCAGGUGUACGAGUGUACUUCGCACACAGGGUGGGUGUGUUUUGCGGGGCAAGGUAAGCUUCCUGACUGUUGUGUCGACUACCGAAGCGGAAUUAAUUGGCCACUUACGGUUGCGCAUACGACACAGUACAUGGUUGUGCUGUUGACAAUGUGACCGCACGAUAUAAACAUUUUUGUGGGAAAGGAAAUCUCACAGUUUGUUACCUGGUUGUUGAUUUCAUUCACGUCACCGCUCGUCACUCUGGGCUCUCUCACCUGUUUAGUGAAUCACCGGAGUGGUAUAGCUGUGAGCAGGACGCUAACAGGGAGACGCACAUGCACGACGACGAGUAUUUUAAAGGUUGAGUGCCUUAAGAGAGAGAAAAAAAGGACUAGAUCAACGUACUUCCAACGAUAGAUAAGGAAAGGAAGCAAGUCGUUCUUAAAGUCGUUCUCGAGCUAGUGGGCCCAUGGAACUUCCGAAAUAUCGAUACGGUUACCUGGCGACAGUGGCUACUAUACUGGCGGUCACCAUGCUCUACCUGCCGGCAGUCCAGUGCCGGCGACUGGGGGAGGCUGCGAUGGGUCCAGAGCCGAGUGGGACAAGUGGUUCGACGGCUGCCAGUGGUGCAUGUGCACCCGCCAUGGAGUUCAGUGCUCCAGCUCAGACUGUGACGGUCUCGUGAAGAAAGUUGCGCCCUGUCCCCUCGUCGGCCAGCGCUGGUCUGACGGCUGCUACAAGUGUCGUUGUCGACGCAACGGCAUCACAUGUCGCCUGGACGCCACCUGCCAUCACCUCCACCAUCACCCGGUUCCCUGCCUGGCGGACGAACGCUGCAUCUGCGGGCCGGACGGCGUGCCGUCCUGCACGGCCGAAGUCAUUGACCGACGCGCCUUCUCUGCCCACCGCCUAGACCUGCGCUUUCCGGAUGUGACGUACGAGUUCGUCAGGGCACAAGAGGGCGGCCACCACAAGGCUCUGAAGAAGGCGGAGAAGCACGGGGAUAUAUCCAUAUCCGGAAAAGAGGAUCUUACUGGUUUCCAGGACAGCCAGAAGGAGGACACCUCACAAGAACUGUUGAUCAUGUCGGACAAUCUCUGCCGCUUGGGGUCGCGUUGGUACGGCGGCAGCCUGCGCUGUUUCUGUGAUGUCGAUGGCGCCAUCACUUGCGGCGAUCCAGCGGUAGUGACAGCCUUCAUCGACAACUUUUCGGUUCAGCGGAAUGGACUGUGAGACGGGGCACGCAUGGGAAGAGGGAUGCAGCAUUUGCACGUGUCGUGUGGACCCUGUCGUCUUCUGUCAGCGCACGCGCGACUGUCGCUAUGGCAACCUGGCUGCAAGCAGCACCGAGGUUGACUUCGAUCAUUACCUUCCCUUGGACAUCGACGACGAUUCGAGUCCAUCCCCGACAGAACCUUCGACCACAUCGUCGACAACAUCCACGUCGACAACCACGUCAGCCGCCACCAGCAGGGCCCCUGCUACCAGCUGCACCCCUGGUACGCACUGGCGCGAGGGCUGUGCGCGCUGCCACUGCAGCGAUACGGGCCACGAAAUCACGUGCAGCAGGCGCGACUGCAGCGAACCGCACAGCAGUGACGAGCUCCAGAACCACCGCCACCAUCCCCACGACGACCGCGACCACCAGCCCCAGUUGACUCCGCAUCACACAUCUCACAAGCGUAACGACAAAGAUGCUGGCGAUCGUCACGAGGAGGUCAAACAGGACAAUGCUGUGGCGGUGGCGAAGCCCUCGGCUAUCCCUCGAAGGCCGAUGGGACCAAUAAUGGUGCCGCCGCCGAUUCCUAAUACCGACAUGCCCAUCUAUUACCCUGUCCCCAGUAAGGAGGGACCGUGUGGAAAGUUCAAGCCCGGCGAUAAGUUUUGGAAAGACUGCAACCUCUGCUUCUGCACCAACAAAGGUCCAAAGUGCACGGCAAAGAACUGUCGAUGAGGGGACAUGGGCGCCACGUCACGCCAAGGAAGCAAUGUGCCUGAACAACUGCAGCGGCUCUUCUGCAGUAUGUAACGAUGACGACGACAACAACAACGCAUCAACAAGCGAAUUGCUGGUUCUUUUCUGCGGCUGGGCAGCAAAGAAAGUUAACUGUUUGCAUCUCGCGAGCAGCUUUGUACAAGCGGUACAUGACACUUGUUAGCUGCAUAUAUACGUUCUUACGUCUUAGGACACCAGCACCAGCACCACACCCCUACACACACAUGAGGUACUCACAGCACACUGUCUGUAAGACUAUAACUGGUGACAAGUCUAGAAUUUACUAGAACAGCACAGUUGUGUCACUGCCCACCGUUGCCGUGGCUUGACUUCCGACAAACAUUUGUAAAAUAAUGGAGAAUGCAGAAUUUAACCAUUUUUUCGGGUGCGGUUGGGAAUGAGCCUUUACCUUCAUUACAAUAUAUAGAAGAAAUAUCACAUAUAAUCACGAUAAGGGGGUAUGGGAGCGAGUUCAUGGCGGUAAUAUGGGAACAAAUUUGACCGAUAUCGUCAAUAUAUUAACAAAAUCUCCUUUUUAUGUUUCUUUCAGAGAGACAAAAAAGAGGAUGUAACCUAGGCAGUUGUGUUUAGUUUAAUUUGAGCAUUAAUCUAAUGUUUUUUGCCUUAGCCUGAAUUUUGCGUAAAACAAGACCAGGAAUCUUUGAAAGCUGUUGAUAACACAGAAAAAUGAUAUGAAGACUUAACAAAACAAUGCUGUGAUAAAGUCUACUCACGCUGCUCUUCAGUGCUUUACACAGACACCUGCUUAACCUACCUGCUUACCCUACUCCCACCAGGGGGUGACGUCUCUCUUGCAGCUUCCUGUGAUGUUCGAGAUGCAAUCUACAUCCUCCCUCUAAGAAAUGACGACGACGGCGUAAGAUUUGUGAUUUGACAUUAAGGAUACGAGUGGCCAGUUUCGGGAAAAAUUACCUGAAGAAACCGUAGACUUAUUGAAAGCGGUUUUCUGAGAUGUGGCACGAUCAGCUUACAGGUCAAACAAGAUGACAUCCAAAGGUCAAACUGGGUGCAGUCCGCCGAAUUCGGCUUGGCACAGAACCGCAGUCUUCGUAGUUGGAAAAUAUAUUUUUCAUUUUUCUGGCUUAAAUCAGUCGUUUAACUUGAACUUGCAGUUUUUGUAAACUUGGAUGUAAGGGCAGUCCUUCUGCUGACCAAAGGUUUCCUGAAUUUAAAUGCAACCAUCUUUGAACUGUCGUUAUCUGAAAUCAUUUUCUUACAAAAGUUUCAUCUCCUGUAACUUACAUUGGCCAGUUUUAUUCCACACGUGAUGUUAGUGAACUCUUGCUGAAUUUUUUUUUUUUACUACCUUGUUAUAUCGCAUUAAAUUGUUUUAAUUUACCACAUUUUAAAUUAUCUUAGAAGAAACUGCAAGAAAGUGAAGAAAAUGGGAACAGAUAACCAUGCUCACGUCUGAACAUAGGUGCUGAGACUGCACGAUGAGUUCUAGCGCGCGGAAAUGGACAAACGGUACUUCGUGAAACCGAUGUUAUGGCGAUAAAAGCAACUCCUCCUCACCGGGCUCAUAGAAAAUGACGAAUCGACAGUCGUGAUUGGCAGGAAGUGAACGUGUUUCAAGUGGACACAGUGGACAUCUGUUUAGAGCAGAAAGUUUUGUAAAGAAGUUGGGCGCGAUAUAAUAAUAAAUAAAGAUUUGUGUAGCGCACGGAGCAUGCUCUCAGCGCUUACAACAGGAAUGAGACAGGACAGUAUACGAGGGACGGAAGAAUAACAGCAUCGCUCCAUAAAACACUUUCAAUACCUGAUAACGUUCGUACCUGUUGUACAUUGUUCUUCAGAAAAACAAUGCAUGUGCAUAAAACCAUUCUUGUAUUAUAGACUUUUUUUUAACAAAUCCGUUGUUAAAUGUAAUUUCAAGUUUGCGUGUCUGCGUGCGAGAAUGUCCGGCCACGCACUAACGCUGUAAGAAAGUGAGAGCUUUAAUUUAUUUGUCCAUAUAUAUAUAUCGGUCUGUAUGUAAAUACUGCGAUGUGACAUGUACAGAUUGGUGACGUGCGUCAAGGUGUGAAUGAUGAUAGUGAAACCUAGUCAAAAAGUUACGAGAUGUAAAUAAAAGUUUAUGCUUAAAGAGAUUGAUUGUUUUGCUGAUGUGACCUCCUCCCCCCAACUUUCCUUUUUUUGAAUAAAGUGAUGUCUCUAUACGA